GAACUCUGGUAUUGAUUGGUGCUUGCAUCAUGAUUUACAUUUGAGUGAGUGGCGAACUGGUGAGUAACACGUGGGAAACCUGCCCAGAAGCGGGGGAUAACACCUGGAAACAGAUGCUAAUACCGCAUAACAACUUGGACCGCAUGGUCCGAGUUUGAAAGAUGGCUUCGGCUAUCACUUUUGGAUGGUCCCGCGGCGUAUUAGCUAGAUGGUGGGGUAACGGCUCACCAUGGCAAUGAUACGUAGCCGACCUGAGAGGGUAAUCGGCCACAUUGGGACUGAGACACGGCCCAAACUCCUACGGGAGGCAGCAGUAGGGAAUCUUCCACAAUGGACGAAAGUCUGAUGGAGCAACGCCGCGUGAGUGAAGAAGGGUUUCGGCUCGUAAAACUCUGUUGUUAAAGAAGAACAUAUCUGAGAGUAACUGUUCAGGUAUUGACGGUAUUUAACCAGAAAGCCACGGCUAACUACGUGCCAGCAGCCGCGGUAAUACGUAGGUGGCAAGCGUUGUCCGGAUUUAUUGGGCGUAAAGCGAGCGCAGGCGGUUUUUUAAGUCUGAUGUGAAAGCCUUCGGCUCAACCGAAGAAGUGCAUCGGAAACUGGGAAACUUGAGUGCAGAAGAGGACAGUGGAACUCCAUGUGUAGCGGUGAAAUGCGUAGAUAUAUGGAAGAACACCAGUGGCGAAGGCGGCUGUCUGGUCUGUAACUGACGCUGAGGCUCGAAAGUAUGGGUAGCAAACAGGAUUAGAUACCCUGGUAGUCCAUACCGUAAACGAUGAAUGCUAAGUGUUGGAGGGUUUCCGCCCUUCAGUGCUGCAGCUAACGCAUUAAGCAUUCCGCCUGGGGAGUACGGCCGCAAGGCUGAAACUCAAAGGAAUUGACGGGGGCUCGCACAAGCGGUGGAGCAUGUGGUUUAAUUCGAAGCUACGCGAAGAACCUUACCAGGUCUUGACAUACUAUGCAAUCUAAGAGAUUAGACGUUCCCUUCGGGGACAUGGAUACAGUGGUGCAUGGUUGUCGUCAGCUCGUGUCGUGAGAUGUUGGUAGUCCCGCACGAGCGCAACCUUAUAUCAGUGCAAGCAUUAAGUUGGGCACUCUGGUGAGACUGCCGGUGACAAACCGGAGGAAGGUGGGGAUGACGUCAAAUCAUCAUGCCCCUUAUGACCUGGGCUACACACGUGCUACAAUGGAUGGUACAACGAGUUGCGAACUCGCGAGAGUAAGCUAAUCUCUUAAAGCCAUUCUCAGUUCGGAUUGUAGGCUGCAACUCGCCUACAUGAAGUCGGAAUCGCUAGUAAUCGCGGAUCAGCAUGCCGCGGUGAAUACGUUCCCGGGCCUUGUACACACCGCCCGUCACACCAUGAGAGUUUGUAACACCCAAAGUCGGUGGGGUAACCUUUUAGGA
rnacentral:rRNA from 1 species